AGACAGAAUAGACUAGAACUGCUAACUCUAGUACCCGGGUUUAAUUCCCCGGACCUCUUA
rnacentral:tRNA from 1 species